UACGAAGGGGGCUAGCGUUGUUCGGAAUUACUGGGCGUAAAGCGCACGUAGGCGGACUAUUAAGUCAGGGGUGAAAUCCUGGAGCUCAACUCCAGAACUGCCUUUGAUACUGAUGGUCUCGAGUCCGGAAGAGGUGAGUGGAAUUCCGAGUGUAGAGGUGAAAAUUCGUAGAUAUUCGGAAGGAACACCAGUGGCGAAGGCGGCUCACUGGUCCGGUACUGACGCUGAGGUGCGAAAGCGUGGGAG
rnacentral:rRNA from 1 species